CUCUCUAUUGGGAUAACUUAGGUUUCACAGUUGUCCUGAGGACACAUAGAACAACCAGCCAGGACCAACUGCGGUGGUGGCACAGGCUUGGUGAAUGCUUCAAGGUUUUUUUUCAUCCACUUAAAAAUUUUUUUAAAUUUACUUUUGAUUGCACUGGGUCUUCGUUGCAGCAUGAGGGCUUUAUCUAUUAAUAGUUGCAGGGAGCAGUGGCUUCUCUUAUUGCAGAACAUGGGCUCUAGGUACACAGGUUUCAGUAGUUAUGGUACAUGGGCUUAGUUGCCCAUCAUGUGUGGGAAUUUCCCGGACCAGGAAUUGAACACGUGUUCCCUGCAUUGACAGGUGGAUUCUUAACCACUGGACCACCAGGGAAGUCUGUUUUCAUCCAGCUUUUGAUUGAAGCAUCCUCCUUUAAGAUGUGGGUUGAGUUUCUCCUUCUUGCUCUGUCUCUGUCUCUUUCAAGUUGGUCAAGUGUCUAGAAACCCACUUUACCAUAAACACAAGUGGUUUGUUGAUAUUUGGCGACUAACUAAUGAUGACAGAAAGGAAGAUGGUGAAUCUCUGGGGUGACUGCACCGUUUACACUCAGUGUUUAUCACAUAGAGCUGAUUUAUGUCACACUGGGGAAAGAGGGCUAAGAAAAUGUGACUGCCUCAGGGCAGGUCAUGGGUAGAUGGAGAUCCUUUGUCAUCAUCAACACUGGCCACGUGCCUACAGCUACCAGCAUGGAGAAAGCAGCUCAGGACAGGCCAGAUGCUCCAUCUUUGGGCCAAGGUGAGAGGAUAGAGCUAAGACAGUGUCUGAGAGGCAAAACGAGAGAUGUCCAGGAGCUCCUCAAUGCCUGGCAAAGUGAAGCUGUAAGACUGCUAUGCAAAAGACUGAAAUCUGAUUGGAUGGCAGCCCAGACAGCCUGUGUCCAGCAACAUUCUCCUCUCCUUUCUGUGAGCUGGUGGGAUCCCUGGCCCGCUACUUGUGCUUCCACCCAAGAUGACCUGGAGAAGGGCUUGGCAACCCACCCCAGCAUUCUUGCCUGGAGAAUCCCCAUGGACAGAGGAGCCUUGGCGGGCUAGGCUGUAGAGUCGCACAAGGUGGGAUAGGACUGAAGUGACUUAGCAUGCAGGCACGCACCCAAGAUGAAUUAAAAUGAACAACGGGGGAGGGGAAAUAACAAAGUAAUUAGAACUGUCCAUUAAUUAAAAGAGCUUGAUGUGGCUCUCUGACAUGCAAUGGAUCAUGUCAUUGUCAACACAGGAAUUUAUUAUCAGGAGGCCAGCAUUUGGGGUAAAAACGAAACAAGCAAAGCGAAAAGAAAAAGAUAGAAUCACAGUACCACAGGAAUUCUCCAUCUUGGUCUGGGUACUGUGUAUAAUUUGGGCUGAAUAACUCUUGGUGGUGGGGGGUGUCCUGGGCAUUUUAGGGCGUUUAAUUACUGUCUCCACGGACUACAUGCAAGGAGUACUCCCUGCCCAAGCUGUGACAUCCCCAAAUGACUCCAGACAUAAUCAAACAUCCCCGAAGAGCAACUUGCCCCUGGUUAAGGACCACUAACAGUACAGUAACUAAAACAUAGCCAGUGCUCCUUUAUGUCCUGCAUCACCUUUUUCCCCGUGACUGCUUGACAGAAGCUUGUUGUCAAGCUACAAUGAGAGCAUGAUAUUUAGACAGGAAGCUGAAGGCAGUUGGUAGUUUAAGAAAGAGAAUAGUGUGACACCUUUUCAAAUCAUCAUGACUUAACCAUGUCCUUUGGAAUUCCGGGCUGUCUGCUCUGACUCUGAACAUUAAGAAGAGAACAUGACCUUGAUGAAAGCCUAGAAACUGCUUCCGAUGGAAGGGUUUUCAGCUGUUUCUAGAUAAAAACUGACCUUUAAGAUAAAUUUCUCUUCCAGAAUUUUUUUUUUCCUUCGUGAAUUAGUUCUCUUUGCCUUGCCUUUCACUGCAGCCAAAUGGUACUUAAUGGAUCUUUGAAAUUUAAUAUCAUAUCCUAUGUUGCUAGACUUUCUGAAGCUUAAUAAGAAUCCUUUGAAAUGAUUUUGAAAUAGAAUUUGAGAGGAGAAUAGGCUUUAUUUUUGUUUGUGUUGAGCGUUUUCUCUGCUAUUUUAGUGGAUGAGCAAUCUGAUAGGCUUUCCCCUCUCCCUUUCCUCCUCUUUUUCUUCAUGAAGGAUGAUGGAAUUAGUAAUGUUACAGAACUUUACAUGCACUUAGCAAUUUAUCAACCAUAACCAGCUAAUCCACAGGAACACGGCAGGAGGAAGGCUUGUUAUUGGAUACACAGGAAUGAUUCCCAGAUCUUUCAUUUUCACUUCUGUAAACAGACCCAUAGUUCCUGGUACUCCAAGGCUCUCAGUACACCUCUCUUGAAUAAAUGAUCUUUUUGAGUAUUAUGACAAAUGGUUUCUAUUUUUUUUAUUAGCUGACUCAGAAAACACCUCCAUGCUGACCUGCAAUAUUUACACUAGCCCUGUUUCCUCCUCUUAAGUUAGGGCUGGACAUGGAGUAGGGACCUCAAAACCAUUUCUUGAAGGGAGCAUAAUGUAAGCAGCUGCUCUGACCACUAGCCCCUUCAUUAGUACCAAGGAUUCUCACAUAUGUUUUCUUUACAAGAACCUUGCACUAUAGAGGGCUGAAAAGAUUAAAAAAACAAAACACAGUUGA
rnacentral:lncRNA from 1 species